GCUCUUCCUACUUUUAUUGGUGUGACCCAUUAGGUUAAGGUGUAUUGAGUUGCGUCUUCCUCUUCGUCUUCGACGCUUCGUUUUUCUUUUUCUGUCCGCCAUUGCCUUAAAGUCUUCUUCCUCUCUGAAACUUCUCCUUUAAUUCAAUCAAUUAAGACCAUCCCACUCUUUCUUAUUUAUUCAGUCUCCCAAACGGCGUAUUUAACCGAUAUGUAACCGAUACAAUAUCCACCUUCAAAUAUGUCUUCUGUCCCUACGCCUCUCAGAUUUCUGAUAGCUUAAACCCUCUUACUCAUCACCCUAAAAUACGUCGGCUUCGUAUGAUCUUCUCGCCAACCAACUUGAAAGCAGGACGCUGCUCUUAACACGGUGGAGGUCUGUCAAAGGAGGUCUUGGGAAGAUCGGAAUGUCUAUAUAUCUGAGCGAGAUGAAGGUGCUCUUAAGUAUUUUAGGGAUAUCAAAAAGGAACAGAAUUAAAGAACCAAAAGGGUUCAAGCUUGAGUUUAUCUUUGAUCAGAGCCCUUACUUCACGAACAGAGUCUUGACCAUGACAUAUCACAUGAUUGAUGAAGAUGAGCAUAUCCUUGAAAAGACCAUUCGGACAGACAAUGAGUGGUAUCCUCUAAAAUGUAUGACUCGGUAGAUCCUUAGUUAAAGCCGAUCACUUAGACUAAAGACUGUGAGAGUUUCUGAAAAUUGUUCAGUCCACCUAAAAUUCAUGUGGAAGACGAUGAUCCUGUUGAUGAAUAGGUAUGGAAUAUUACUAAAUCCGGACUCAACAGCAUUCAAGACGACACACAGGAUCCGGUUGAGACUCAACAGCAGUUAGGAAGAGUUAAAGACUGUAUGAGCUCCCGCCACCUCAAAACUAAAGUGAUCACAGAUGUUCUACCAAACUUCCCAGAUAUCUCCAUAAAGUCAUGAACCAUCUGGAGAAAGAAUGUGCUUUCUAGAACAGGGAAAAGCACAUACGCCGUAAACAGAGAGGAGGUAUAUAGUUCAUCAUUUACUACUGAUUUGAUUUCGUGCUCUUUGCUUUUUAAUUUGUCUUCACCAUCAACUAAACCUAAAAUAUAACCUGACAUCAUGAAGCGAAUUCAAGUUUGUGAAAAUAGAUCUGAUGUUAAAGCACUAAAGCUGCUCCACGAGACUGGAAAAGCUAUACUCCUGAAGACUGAAUUUAAAUGAAAGUGUGAGACUCUGACUUCUUACUCUAGGUUUAAUACACAUGCGUUAUUGACUCACUCUUUUUUGUUAGGCUUUAUUUCCCGAUGCAAUAUGUAACCACUGACCAUUACAGAGUUUCACGAAAUGUUAGGCUGGUGAAGCCAACAUGACAGCAGUUCGUAAGCUAAUCUAAGAAGACUACAUGGGAGAUUCUAGCAGCCGCAGUAUAGGUUUGCUUUCUCAGUUCAGACCCUACUGUUUUAAGGUUUGUUGGUCACAAGCGUUAUUGACCCAUUGACCACAAUGAAGGCAUGUGUGAUCAAUGAUGGUGUAGCCUACGCGCUGAUCCAACACCAGUGGCGUCCAAAGUCGCUCAUCAUUGUUUGUAGUUUGACAGAGACUUGGGAUCUUGCAGUUUCCACAUCGAAAAGUCCAAAAAGUCCAAAGGCUGAUUUUGGCAUGGCACAUCACAUCACAUGUUUUAGCUGUGGAUGCUCACCAAGAAGAACUCGAAAAAGUUAUCAGUAAAGUGGCUGUUGACAUUCAUGGUUCUUUUGUCUCCAUGUCCUCUUCAGUACAUUCAUAAUAUGAUUUACUUAGGUUUAUCACUAUUUUUUAUAUCAACCCUCAGAUUUACCACUAUAAAUUUUUGGUUACCGUCACUUUAUCAUUUCUUCAGCACAUUCUAUUGUAAAUUGGUGAUACAUUACUGUAGAGAAGAGUUGUUCUGAAUUAGAAAACAUUGAGUGAAUAAA